rnacentral:rRNA from 1 species
UACGGGAGGCGCAGUGGGGAAUAUUGGACAAUGGGCGAAAGCCUGAUCCAGCCAUGCCGCGUGUGUGAAGAAGGCCUUAGGGUUGUAAAGCACUUUCAGUAGGGAAGAAAUGCGUGUAGUUAAUAACUGCGCGUCUUGACGGUACCUACAGAAGAAGCACCGGCUAACUCCGUGCCAGCGACCGCGGUAAU